rnacentral:misc_RNA from 1 species
CGCACAUUGCGCCCGCCAGCACUCUGGCGGGCAUGCCUGUCCGAGCGUCAUUUCCACCCUCAGGCCCCCGUUGGCCUGGCGUUGGGGCUUCUGUAGGCCAGUCCCUACAGGCCCUCAAGACCAGUGGCGGGCUCGCCUGGAACUCCGAGCGCAGUAGUUUCUCCUCGCUCAGCAGGCUCCGGGCGGGUUUGGCCGUUAAACCCCCUAAAUUUUUAAAAGGUUGACCUCGGAUCAGGUAGGGAUACCCGCUGAACUUAA